AAAUUGAAGAGUUUGAUCAUGGCUCAGAUUGAACGCUGGCGGCAGGCCUAACACAUGCAAGUCGAGCGGAAACGAGUUAUCAGAACCUUCGGGGGACGAUAGCGGCGUCGAGCGGCGGACGGGUGAGUAAUGCCUAGGAAAUUGCCCUGAUGUGGGGGAUAACCAUUGGAAACGAUGGCUAAUACCGCAUGAUGCCUACGGGCCAAAGAGGGGGACCUUCGGGCCUCUC
rnacentral:rRNA from 1 species